UCAUUAAAGCGUUGCCGACGUGGAGCCCGGCCGCUCUGGAUUGUAAUAUAUUCAGGACGGUGUUCGGUGUUCCCCGGCAGUUGCCCAUUCUUGCCUACUGACCCAGUUGCCUCGGUGGGCCGAGCCGUUCGCGGCCGGCCGGUGGAAGUUUCGGUUCGCCCUGCGUGGGCCGCCGCUUCCUCGGGCCUGUGCCCGCCGAUGGACAUUUAAAAAUCUAAUAUAUUGGCCGUCUGAGCAUAAAGCAAAAUCUUUUAAAACUUUCAACAACGGAUCUCUUGGUUCCGGCAUCGAUGAAGAACGCAGCGAAAUGCGAUAAGUAAUGUGAAUUGCAGAAUUCCGUGAAUCAUCGAAUCUUUGAACGCACAUUGCGCCCUCUGGUAUUCCGGAGGGCAUGCCUGUUCGAGCGUCAUUGCAACCCUCAAGCUCGGCUUGUGUGAUGGGCGACCGUCCUUCCCCUAGGGGCGGGACGCGUCCGAAAAGCAGUGGCUAGGCCGCGACUCCGGCGCCUGAGCGAAUGGGAUUUCCAACGCUUAUAGGACCGGCCGGCUUCUUUGGCCUUAAAAUCUAGAUCUUUAUUGAUCUAUCUAGGUUGACCUCGGAUCAGGUAGGGAUACCCGCUGAACUUAAGCAUAUC
rnacentral:misc_RNA from 1 species